rnacentral:rRNA from 1 species
UACGUAGGGGGCGAGCGUUGUCCGGAAUUACUGGGCGUAAAGGGCGCGUAGGCGGCUCAUUAAGUCAGGUGUGAAAAACCUGGGCUCAACCGAGGGGAUGCAUCUGAUACUGGUGAGCUUGAGUUAAGGAGAGGGGAGCGGAAUUCCUGGUGUAGCGGUGAAAUGCGUAGAUAUCAGGAGGAAUACCAGUGGCGAAGGCGGCUCUCUGGACUUAAACUGACGCUGAGGCGCGAAAGCGUGGGGAGCAAACAGG